UACUAAUGCAACUGCGAAUAGCUGUUUAAUACAGUCGUAAUUGUAUUGACUUAGUAUAAUGUUAAUAAUAGUUAUUUAUAGGAUAACUAAGGGAAAGUUUGGCUAAUACGUUUUAACAGUAUUAUAAUUCUUAAUACACAUAUAAUAAUAUUAUAAUAUGAUAAAUAUUAUAUAAAUAUUUUAAUACAUUUAUUUGUAUUAAUAUAUAGAGUUGACUUUAUAAUAUUUAUUUAUUAUAAAGCAUGUCAAACAAGCAUCUAUAGCAUCAAGUCACAAUGUUGGCAUGUGUAUUAUUGAACCUUCAAAGCAUUUACGCAUUCGGAGGAGUAGUUUCUGAUCCCGUCGAAGGUGCCUGAGAGACGGCACUUAGUUYUAAGGAACGCAGCAGGCGCGUAAAUUGCCCAAUGACAAAACAUGUUAUAAUAAAAUAUAUAAUGUAUAUAUAUUGAAUACUCAAUAUUUAAUUGAGGCAGUGACAAGCUGUAAAGAUUGAAUAUAUUAAUUAAGAUAACAUUUGGAAUUGUCGUUUUAUAAUAUUUUUUAAUAUUAUAUUACUUGAUAAUAUACCAAUGUUAUAAAAUAUUCAAUUUGAAUGCGGUGAAUGUAAUAAUUUCAAGUAACAUGUAUAAAAUAUUUAUAUUUUAUUAGUUAUCUGAAUUUUCAAGUGGAGGGCAAGUCUGGUGCCAGCAGCCGCGGUAAUACCAGCUCCACUAGCUUAUACAAUCAUUGUUGCGGUUAAGAGGCUCGUAGUUGGAUUGAAUAAAACAUAUAUACACAAUACUGUGAACAAACCAGAGUGUAUAAAACAUGUAAUAUAUUAUAUAUUUAGCAAUGAAUGUUUUAUCAUGGAAUAUUGCUAUAAUGAAUAUUAAUAUCGAUGGAGAUAGUUGGAGUUAAGAGUACUGAUAGGCGAGCGGUGAAAUGCAUUGACCCUAUUAAGACUAACAAAAGCGAAAGCACUUAACUAGAUUAUUCUCUUUGUAUUAUUUUACAAUGAAGAGCGAAGGUUGGGGGAACAAAGAGGAUCAGAUACCCUCGUAGUCCUAUUUUUACAUCAAACUAUGGGAUUUCAUUCACACUAAACACUAAACAUUAUAAUUAUAAUUAUGAUUGAGUAUAUGUCAAAAUAUUACUCUCAUAUUAAAUAAUUAUUAUAUAUAUGAUUAUAUGUACUUUGAGCUCAUAUAAUUAUAUAGGUGAGAUGUAAGCAUUAUAAAGUGAAUAAUAUAUAAGUAAUAUUGUAUUAUUAUGAUCUUUAAAAUAAAAAAUGUAAUGUGAUGCACGUUUUAGGUACGAGCUUACUAUAGAAAUAUUUAAAAUAAUACCCUCCUGGGGUAGUAUGCACGCANNNNNNNNNCUUGAAGGAAUUGACGGAAGGGCACCACAAGAACGCGUGGAGCAUGUGGCUUAAUUUGACUCAACCCGGGAAAUCUUACCAGGUCCAGACAUAUUGAGGAUUGACAGGCGAUAGUAUAUAAUUCAUUUAUAUGCAUAAAAAUGAUAGUCCUUUCAUGAUUAUAUGAUAGGUGGUGCAUGGCCGUUCUUAGUUCGUGGAGUGAUUUGUCUGCUUAAUUGCGUUUCAGUAAAUAAAAUAUAUAAUAUAUUAUAAUAUUUAGUUCUGCCUUGAAUAUUAUUCAAGGAUUUAAAGUGAACAUAUUAUAUAUAUUAUUAUAUAAUAAAUGAAUGC
rnacentral:rRNA from 1 species